rnacentral:rRNA from 1 species
AUUGAACGCUGGCGGCAUGCCUUACACAUGCAAGUCGAACGGUAACAGGUCUUCGGAUGCUGACGAGUGGCGAACGGGUGAGUAAUACAUCGGAACGUGCCCGAUCGUGGGGGAUAACGAAGCGAAAGCUUUGCUAAUACCGCAUACGAUCUACGGAUGAAAGCAGGGGACCGCAAGGCCUUGCGCGAACGGAGCGGCCGAUGGCAGAUUAGGAGUUGGUGGGAUAAAAGCUUACCAAGCCGACGAUCUGUAGCUGGUCUGAGAGGACGACCAGCCACACUGGGACUGAGACACGGCCCAGACUCCUACGGGAGGCAGCAGUGGGGAAUUUUGGACAAUGGGCGCAAGCCUGAUCCAGCAAUGCCGCGUGCAGGAAGAAGGCCUCGGGUUGUAACUGCUUUGUACAGAACGAAAAGGCUACUGGUUAAUACCUGGGGCUCAUGACGGUACUGUAAGAAUAAGCACCGGCUAAC